GGGGUGCUCGAGUGGCGGACGGGUGAGUAACACGUGAGUAACCUGCCCUUGACUUUGGGAUAACUUCAGGAAACUGGGGCUAAUACCGGAUAGGAGCUCCUGCUGCAUGGUGGGGGUUGGAAAGUUUCGGCGGUUGGGGAUGGACUCGCGGCUUAUCAGCUUGUUGGUGGGGUAAUGGCCUACCAAGGCGGCGACGGGUAGCCGGCCUGAGAGGGUGGACGGCCACAUUGGGACUGAGAUACGGCCCAG
rnacentral:rRNA from 1 species